AGGCAAUCCAUGAGCGGCUUGACAGCUCUGGAUAGAAAGUCCUAGCUGAGCUUGUGAAUCGUUAAGGAAAGAUGGACACGAGGGUGUCCAGGCCCAUCUCCCUCCCUCACGGAGGGAAGAGGCAGUGGGCAGGUGUGACAGCAGACGCUGUGGGGCAGUACUUGGAGGGCGAUGGCUUUGAAAGAGAGUUUUAAAAACUGGACUGGGAAAUGCGAGUGUCACGAGAUGCCGGCGAGUGGAGACAGAACACUGGAAGGAGCAGCCAGCCAAGAGAACGAGGCCCCGAGGAAGGGAGAGAGCAGGCACGCAGCGGCGCGGGGAGGAGCGGCAUGGACCGCAGCAGACGGCCUCUCCGGCCUGCGCACCCGGGUCAGCACGCUGAGGGAAUUAAACCCAUUGCUUCCUCUGGGCAGUCAAUGGUGAAGCGGUCCUCUGAGAGUGAAGAACAAGCGUGUGAGUUAAGGUGUUGAAGUAGAGUGAACACACCUGCAGGUGCUGCUGUGCCGAAUGCGGAGCGCCAGCCAGGCGGGGAGGCUCUGUCUUGCCAAGUCUGUUCAGAGUCCCGUGGGAAGACGGUGAGGGAACAGAACCGCUUAGCAACAUGAGGUACAGAAAGCCACAGCAGGUUAGAAUCAGCUUGGACCAUCAUGAUCUCCCCAUCCCUCAUUCCCCCUGCAUUACUUAUUGGUCUGAAGAGGUUUCACUGCUAUGUUUGACACAGCCUGGAAGCUCACCAGGAUGUUCACUUAAACACACACCUAAGUACAGACAGGAAAGAUGGUGAGUUGAGUCCCAGCAGACUGCUGUCUAGAAACCCACCCCAAGAAUGGGAGCUGUGAAUCUGGUCACAGAUUUGGGAUGGAGAAGGGUCAUUGGCUCAAUUCAAUACUCGGUCUUCAUUAAGAGUGAGAAAGAGUCAGCCAGGUAUUCAGACACCAGAUUAAUUGAUUUCCUUCCUCCUAGGACUGAGAAGGGGUUUUGCAAAAGUUGUCAUAAAACAAAACAUGCCAGGAACCUAAGCCAAGAAAACAGACUAUUUGCUGUGUCACUGUCACUUGGACUGAAACUCAGUGGACAACUCUUGCCAGGUCUAGGAGGUACAAACUAAGAUGAAUUGGCUUUAAUAAUUAAAGGAAAUAACUGUGCUGGCCCGGGAUACAAAGUCAGAUGGGUAGGUUAAAUCCGCUCCAGGGAAUUUCAUACUAUUGUGGCAGCUGAGGCUACCAGGCCAAGAAGGCAUCUACACUGUCACCGUGGUCACCACUCCUCUGCCAUUGAAAUGCAAGCCGUUUUGAUGCUGCUUCUAUUUUCUUAAGUGAUUUCCCCCUUUUCUGUUUCUUUGGUGUACAAUAAAGUUCACUAAGAAUGUCUCCACCCUCUGAAGCUGUUUCAAAGGCAACUAGAUACGGUGGUAUCAAGGCAAUGGGAAUAAAAUGGGUAAAGUCCAAGAAAUUGGUAAAACUUAGGAAGACAGAGAAUCAUAUGAAAUUAUCCUUCCAGGCACAAGUCUGUGCUUAAAUAUUAGAAUUGGGUGUGGGGCAGGAGACAGUUUUCGUUUUAUGCCUUUUGAGAUGCCAUUUUCCCAUUCUAGAUAACCUUGAAUACUCUGAAUGUAGGGGCAGCACUAAGAUGCAACUGUGUCCUUCUAGCGGAGAAGCAGGGCUCUACCAUAACUAGAGCUCUGAGGCGGGAUGUCAGUUAGAGGUCUCCGCCACAGCAUCCUGACACUGCCUCUCUCCCUUGGUCCUCCAAGCCACCAGGGAUGACCCUGACACACUUUGCUCUUCUUUCAAACUGCUCAACCCAUUGUAAAGAGAGCACCUUUUUAGGUGAAACUCCCUAGAAAUGCAGGUCUUCAACUCUCCAUGUAUCUAGUGAAAAAAUAAAACAACAAAAGAGACAUAGCAAAGUCCCAGGAAGUAUAGGAAGAAAACACAUCUCCUGGCUUUUUAACGCACAAAUGGUCCCACCAGAAUUCUCUGAAAAUGCAUGCUAGGUUUUAGCAGAAGAAACCUCUGUAGGAAAACACAGCUAGAGUUACUGUAAGAAGGUAGUUUAAAAUAAAGCAUUAGGUAGUGUAGUUGGAGAAAAUCUAACGAAUGAAAUGUAAACAAUUAGGGUGUGUCCUCUCCCACCAAACAAAAACAAAACUGCUGGAUUACUUUUACGGUGCUGAAGUUGUUUCAUGACUGUACCUUGUCACCCUUCUUUACUGUCCUGGUUGUCAAUUUACUGAUGGCUUUCUUGGCUGCAUCUCCGAGACGACGCUAUGAAAAUUGCAAAUAAAAACAGAUACUAAGUGUAA